UGAGUUUUGAAUUCUAUCCUAGUCGUGUAUAUCUAUUGUAUGGCUUUAUUUAUGGUCUAUUAUUGGCUUUGUCUGAGUGCUUUAGUUAUCACCUCCAUACCAACACUGACCAUUGUUAUUUCCCUUCACUCUGAAACCGUGUAGAUAUUUUAUAUGAUUCAUGGUCGCCUGCAAUGACUGUAAGUUCUAUCUGUAUCAGCAUUCUCUCCAUGUUGUCGAGCUCGACAGCAAAGCAACGCCCUGACGAUAACGACCGUUAUGUAAAGAAUUGUAGGAAUGGAAGAUCCCCAAAAGAGACGAGGUGGUGGUUCCAUGACGAUAAGGUGUAACAACGUAAGAUCUUCCAUUGUUAUGCCUGUGGCUUCCCUUGUUUGUAAGGUGAAAGAAGUAGAAAGUGAUUAUGGAAAAAGAAAACCAAGUAAAGUGGUAAGGCCUGGCAUUUGUAAAGGAAGAUCAAUUUAUGUUUCUUACUAAUGUCUAAAGAACAACUUCUCUUGUCCUUUCUUGGGGGUGGGUUAUCCUUCCUGGAUGAGAACCUCUUCUUAACAAAUUUAUAAAUCAUCAGUAAUGCCUCCUUCCUAUUA